rnacentral:rRNA from 1 species
CAGUCGCCGCGGUAAUACGUAGGGUGCAAGCGUUAAUCGGAAUUACUGGGCGUAAAGCGUGCGCAGGCGGUUUGUUAAGACAGAUGUGAAAUCCCCGGGCUCAACCUGGGAACUGCAUUUGUGACUGGCAAGCUAGAGUAUGGCAGAGGGUGGUGGAAUUCCGCGUGUAGCAGUAAAAUGCGUAGAUAAGCGGAGGAACACCGAUGGCGAAGGCAGCCCCCUGGGCCAAUACUGACGCUCAUGCACGAAAGCGUGGGGAGCAAACAGGAUUAGAUACCCCUGUAGUCCCUGUCUCUUAUAC